rnacentral:rRNA from 1 species
UACGGAGGUGGCAAGCGUUGCUCGGAAUCACUGGGCGUAAAGGGCGCGUAGGCGGGGAGGUAAGUCGGGUGUGAAAUCCCUCGGCCCAACCGAGGAACUGCGCCCGAGACUGCUUCUCUUGAGUCUCGGAGAGGAAGGUGGAAUUCCCGGUGUAGCGGUGAAAUGUGUAGAGAUCGGGAGGAACACCGGUGGCGAAGGCGGCCUUCUGGACGGUGACUGACGCUGAGGCGCGAAAGCGUGGGGAGCAAACGGG